rnacentral:sRNA from 1 species
GGGAGCCCUUAUCUACACAGUUGCAAUGAAUAGACUUGAUUGGGUUCUCACACAGCAGGCAGGUGAUGGUCGUUGACUGUCUAUUUCAGGAUUAAACUUUCGACUGGCCACAGGUGUUUUUCCUUUUUUGGCUCUGCGGCCCUGCCAUCAUUAAGUUUGCCUGAGGCAGCAGACAGCUUCUGGAGACCCAAAGCUGGGGGGAGGCAGGGUGCGGAGACAAUCCAGCUGACAUUUUAAGCAGGAAACGCCACCAUCUGAAUGUAAAGGAGAUAAACCCGGUCUUUGCACAGACUGUUCACUCUGGGGAAAUUGAGGUAAAGCAGGAUCGGGUUUGGAGCUGGGAAACGAUGGCUGGAACAAGCGUCUCUGAGAUCACACGGGCUCUCCCUGCCUCAUUGACGGUGACCCCUUCUCAGUAUCUAGAAAUGAUGAAAAAGUGAGGGUACCGCUCACGAGGGAUGCUUUUCUUUUUUAAAUCAAAUUUAACUCUUAUUUUAAAAUAUUGGCUUUGCCAAACAACAUAAAUAGAAAAGAAGUAUUAGUAUAUAAUGACCUCAGAAGGUUCAGUCUUUUGUCCACUGAUGCAUUCCUGGGGCACUGGAGAGAAGAAAGGCUUGCUGUCCUCAGGAUCUGAUCCGCCAGGAGUUGCUCACCUAAUACCCUGAAUUCUUUUCAUGAGGAGCAAAGCUUAAAAUAAAAACAUAAGCUCUCCAGGAAAGUGAAUAUGUCCUCUUAAACUUACUUUAAAAUACAAAUGAAGAACAGGUCAUGUUUUCACAGUAAAGCUAUCACUGGGGCUGGAGAGAAGCAAAUCGACUGGGGAGGUCAUCAGUGUGCACAGUGGCAUCCUUGGGGCAUUUAGGAGCACGUCAGCUCUACCCCGUGUUAACUUUGAACAGCCUGCCUAACUUGUGUCUUUGUUCAACGCACCUCAGAACAGCACAAGAAGAGGAGAGUCUUCUAAUGUCCUUGCCAACUGCACCGAGUGUCCGCCCGUCACACUUCCUAAUAUUGAGGCUGGAGCGUAUAGCCAGCACAGCUGAAACCAUGAUCAGAGGCUCACUGAUCAGUUGCCACAUUGGGGUGCCCUUUCAGAAAGGAAUGUCAGAAGCUACAGCCGUAAAACCUCACCAAUGACUAUCUAAAUGUGACCUGAAUAAAACCGACAAAUUGAAUGGAGAAAAGUCUGAGCUCUACACAAAGAACUAUAGGCAACUGAGGACAUAUCCUUACCCAGAAAAGAACACACCAAUUGGUUGUCCAGUGCCCAGUGGUCAGCAACUCUGAAAACACAUAUGUAACUGACCAUUUUAUAUUUAGGAACAGAUCUCUCUCUCUCUCUCUCUCUCUCUCUCUCUCUCUCUCUC